UUGCACUGCAUUAGUAUGGUUUAUGAGUAAGUCAAUUUCUUUUGUGAAAUGAGUUGUGAUUUCUCUAUAUGAUGACUUGUAUUCUCUAUUAUCUUAUUGUCUUACAGCUAUUCUAUGUUUUCUUAUUGGCAGAACAUGCAUAAUAAAAACAAAUAGUUUGACACUGCCCUAUUGAUGGAAAUGCUGCUUGUGUAAAAAUAAAAUCUCUUGUUGUUGUCAAAUUCUUGUCUCUGUGUGGUGACUUAAUAGCUUGAUUUAUUUGUAGAUGCAGUUGGUUGUUUGGCUUUCUAAGGCUCCAUGUUUCAUAAGAACUUUAGGAUGGGUAUGAAACUGUUCUGGAUGGUUGCGGACUCGGCAUAUAUUGAUCUUAUUGCACAGGAGAUGCAUUUGACAAGUUAAAAUUUGAAAUAUAUAAAACCUGCAUAUAUCACAGGGAAAUUUUCCUGUCAGUGUCAGCUUGUUGUUGGUCGGCAAUGGAAGUAAGUUUCUUCACUUUCAACAUACACACAGCACACCUUUCCAAACGUGAUCAUCUGAUAAUGUAGCUCAUACCUGUUCAGUAAAUAGUUCAAUGAAUUAGCAAACAAGAAGUUCUAUAAGAAAUUUGUUUUGCCAAUAAAUGCAUCUGCUUGUCAAGUAUCAAGAAGUGGUUCUUUACAAUGUUCUUUGAUCAAGCUUGCAUAAUCGAGGCCAAAGAUAUUUUUGGAUGGAUUCCAGGACAGGGUACCUAAGUAGGCAGAAUAGAUUCAGCACCUUUCUUGUUAAAUAUACAGUUUGUAUCUGUGUCUGUUUCAUAAUACUCACAGCUCUAGGAGAUGCAACUGAAGGGACUCUGGUAGUGGCUGAAGGGGGACCCAUCCCAAUCUUACAGCUAUACGUCCAACAUUUGUGUCAACCUGCCAGGCAAAUAUGAAACUUGAAUUCUGCCUUCCUUUGCAUGACUAUUUACAUUAACUUACUGGAAAAGCAAGAUGGUGAAGCGUCAGAAGCCGCACACACUCCACACUUUUAAGCCCCAGUCCUCUAAAACUUAGCAGGUACUCUCUACAAGUAAUAAUGUUUAAGCAGCUCUCCAUUUGUUAAAGGAAUAUAAAAAGGGUGUAUAAGAAAUUUUCUUUGACUUAGAUAUGCUACUAACAUAUUAGAUGCAAAAAUUAUCUUUUUAUUGCAUUUUAAGUCUACACUUUAGACUCCUUACGCUUACUUUGCUUUGUCUGGCGGAACAUCUCUCAACCACUCCAGGUCAAUGCUUCCAUGAUCUCUAACCAGCCGAUUGAGGAAAUCCUAAGUGGAAUUCAUUCACAAUCAGCAAUAGGCAGUAAGAGCCCAGUUGAGCUACAUCGCAGAUGGUGUCUAUCAAUCCCCAGAGAUGCUGCAGUCGUAGUUUUAGCUGAGGCUGCAUUUACAAGGGUUAAUAGAUCUGCAGAUGAAGAAUUACUGGGUUCGCCCAGGUUCAGCGAACAUUGCCUCUGCUCAUUGCUAUAACCCGAAAUGCAGUUACUCCCAACUGAAGCUGCUUUCAAGUUAUUAAUGCCGCCAUUUACUUCUAUGCAAAUGCUGGAAUCGGAACAUGCAACUACUCUAUCAGCUUGAGGUUCCUGAGUAAACCCAUAAGAGCAUCUUUCCGAACCUAUACAAUUUGCUUCAAAUAUCUGGUUUCCUUGUCUCCCAGCAUGGAUCACUGGUGGUUUGGGGAGAAUAGGCCUAAAACGGGUCACAGGAAUCAACGGACGCUGGAAUUGAAACUGUUCUUGACCUUCUUUGCUCAUUCUUUUUGCUCAGUUCCAAAAUCCUUUCUAAACAUUUCAGCUUGAUUCUCUUACCCACCAGAUAAAAACCGCUCGCAGGUCCUUUAGCAGAGUCUUCAUAUCAAAAGCCAGUCCUUGCCUGAAUUUUGCUUAUUGAGGUCAGGUAAGCCUCCUUACUGUGAACCUCUUUUUAUUGAAGCUAUGCUGCCGUGUAAGAGAGAAAAAAAUAUCAGCAUAGCUAAAACAGGAAGAGACUGCAGUAUCCUGUUUAAGAUUGAGCAAUACCUCUGAAACCCUGAACUUAUAAUUCCUAAAAAUGCUUCAAAAAAAGAAGAUAUAGCUCAGUAAGCUUAUAGACCUUUUACAGACCAGCAUCGGCCUGCCAUUUCAUGACAAACACAGUGAUGGGUGAGGAAGAAAUUUUUUUUUCAUUUGUAAAAUUAUUAUAGAAUUCUAGAGGGUAUAAGGAUAAAAGACAGCAAAGCAACAACAGAAACAAAAUAAACAAAGAAAAUCUCAACAGAUUCUCUCUAUGAUCUCCAUAGAUAAUGCUACAUAAGAUUCUGUUGCUGAAUGAUUUGGACUUCAAAAAAUGAAACUCCAAAUAAGUUUUUUUACAAAAACACUUUAAAAUCUAAGGAUUACCAGAAAAAAAAUGUGUUAAUGCUGGAGAUCUGAUAAUCACCCGAAGCCCAAGGAAAUGAAAAUAAAGUCACUCCUAGAAUUUAGAGAAGAUGGAGAAAGAACAAAAAAACCAAAUAGAAAGAUCAGUUCAUUUAUAAAAUUGUACUCGAUAAUUUAGCUUUAGCAUUUCAUAAUAAUAAAAGUAAAAUAAUAUAUAGGUUUAUAUUUAAUGAACUUGGAUAAAGUAAUUUAUAAAUUGUUACUUUAUCUUGUGUUAAAUGUAGUUUUCAUGUCUUGUUUGUUUUGAUAUGUUUAUAUUCAAUACAAGUUCUAAAGUUGAUUAAAACGUAAGAGUAUUUAUAAUAAUGUGGCCACUGACUAGGGCGAGUAAACUUUAUCAAAGAAGUUUACGUGUCGACAAGGUCUUGACACUUGGCACGUGAGGGCGUGUCAAUAGUCAAUGUUGUGUUGGGUUGGGUUUGUUUAGAAUUUAGACGGCGUCAAAUCCCACCGUUAGGUCUAAAUAUGCUUUACAAGAGGGAGGGUUUUAGGCUCAGCUUUUCUUUCUAGUGUGGUCCCCACGAUUGGUCUAUGGUGCAAUUGUAUGAAGAGAUCUUAAGUGUGAUUGGUUGAGUGUUGGGGAAUGUUUGACGGUGAUAUGAUAUUUUAUCUUGUUUUUUUUUUGGUAAAUUACACCAAUCAUUCAACUUUGAUAGUUAACAAAAACAGUUAAGUUUUAUUUCAUUACUUAAUUUUUAAAAAAUAAUAAAACAGUUAUAAAAAAGUGACAAAAUAGUCACUGAUUAACAGUACAGUUUUCGUUAGUGUCUUAAUAGGGUCGCUUACGUGGCCAGUUAACUUGUUACAUUAGAUGUUCACAGUCGAAAUCCAUCCAACUUAAAGAAGAAAUUGAAAAAAAAACCCUAAAAAAACCCCUUUAACAGAGAAGAAGAAGCAGCAGCAGCAGCAGUAGAAGAGACAAUUAUCAAGUACGAUCAUUGGUUUAUUUUAUGGAAGGAAGGCUCAUGCUUCUUUCCUCUGAAUUUUCAGUAUCGAAUCUCAAAUAUAAGGUACAAUUAUCAAGUGGCGAACGUUACAUCACUGUCGGAGAUGGUGGAAAUCAAGAAGGUCUAGCUGGAAGAUUUUUAGACCCAACCAGAGUAUUCUGCAUUCCGAGACGCUAGUUAUGGUCACUCGACACUGGAGAUCCAAAAUAGGACCCAUGCAUUCUACCAUUGGAACCGCAAUGAUGAUGGGAAAAAAGUGGCAGCAUUUUUAGAGUGUUUGAAUGAUAUUAUUAGCAAACUUUUUAGAACAAAAUAUGCAGUGAGUGGUAUAUGUUGUAGGAGAAUUGAUUCACUUGAAGAUAUGGUUGUGUUUCGUUGCAGGUCAAGCAAUCUGAGAUGAAGAAAACUGAAGAAGCAUCAUUUGAGUAGCGUGCUUAAGCGUAUUGCUUCUUAUUGAGAAGAUGAACUUUCGACUAAAGCAUUUCAUCUUUGGUACAGAUUUGGUUGAUUAAAUUUCAGUAAGAAGAUGAAAAUGCCAAAAUUAAUGCAAAUUCCUUAGCAUGAAGCUUCCCUUCGGUGUAUCUUUUUUUUCGAAAUCAUGCUCUUUUUUGGCUAAACCACAAGACCCCACCAAUAAUGGCGGAAGGUUACAGAGGAAGAGAGCCAGGAAGAAGAAGAGCAAAGACAUGGUGUUUCAAUGGCAAACAAUUAGACCCCGCCAAAUUAGAAAAAAUAAGACUUUUUUUUUUACAGUCUCUUUUUCUUCUGCUUCUCCUUCUUCUGCUUCUUCUUAAGGGUUUUUUUUUCAAUUUUUUCUUAAAUUGGGUGGGCAAGUUAACUUGCCACAUCAGCAGUUAACUUACCACAUCAUCGACACCAACAUUUUCUGUUAAUUAAUAACUGUUUUGUUUCUUUUUUACAAUGUUAGUAAUUGUUUUGUUAUUUUUUAAAAUUGAGUAAUUAAAAUAAGAUUUAAACGAUUAUUUUA